AUGCCAUGAGACCCAUAAUAAGCAGAAGAUCCAAAAAGUAAGAAACCUAGCUAGUUUCACAACAGCAACAACGGCCCGAUAAUUAUUCAUUCCAACACUUUUCAUUAAACUUGGACGCCAUUAUCUGAUGUUAUGAAUCCAUAUUAUGGCAUUUGCAUGCCAUUGUAAAUCCAUAUAGUUCAAGCAUAUUAUCAUGCUAGAUGAUAAAUUAAAUCGGAGAAUGAUGCCGAAUUAUAAAAUAUGAUAAUAGAGUUUAAUAAUAUAAUAUAAUAUCCAAAACACCUAACUUUUACAAUGCCAAUUAAAAGGAUGUUCAGGAAAAGAGGAUGUCAUACCUCAAAUGCAUCCUUAAAAAAUGGUCAGGUUCCUUAACUA
rnacentral:misc_RNA from 1 species